GUGAGUCAUCGAAUCUUUGAACGCACAUUGCGCCCGCUAGUAUUCUGGCGGGCAUGCCUGUCCGAGCGUCAUUUCAACCCUCAGGGCCCUCCUGCUUCGCAGGCGCGGCGCUGGUGUUGGGGAUCGGCCCGCCUCCGCGCGGCGCCGUCCCCCAAAUACAGUGGCGGUCUCGCUGCAGCCUCCCCUGCGUAGUAGCAACACUCGCAUGCGGAGCGCGGCGCGGCCACGCCGUAAAACCCCCGACUUUCUGAACGUUGACCUCGGAUCAGGUAGGAAUACCCGCUGAACUUAAGCAUAUCAAUAAGCGGAGGA
rnacentral:misc_RNA from 1 species